rnacentral:rRNA from 1 species
GAUGAACGCUGGCGGUAUGCUUAACACAUGCAAGUCGAACGGUCACUUCGGUGAUAGUGGCGGACGGGUGAGUAACGCGUGAGAAUCUGUCUUCAGGUCGGGGACAACAGUUAGAAAUGACUGCUAAUACCGGAUGUGCCUUUGGGUGAAAGAUUUAUUGCCUGAAAAAGAGCUCGCGUCAGAUUAGCUAGUAGGUGGUGUAAGAGACUACCUAGGCUCCGAUCUGUAGCUGGUCUGAGAGGACGAUCAGCCACACUGGAACUGAGACACGGUCCAGACUCCUACGGGAGGCAGCAGUGGGGAAUUUUCCGCAAUGGGCGAAAGCCUGACGGAGCAAUACCGCGUGAGGGACGAAGGCUUUUGGGUCGUAAACCUCUUUUCUCAAGGAAGAUGAUGACGGUACUUGAGGAAUAAGCAUCGGCUAACUCUGU